CCUGGUUGAAUCCUGCCAGUAGUCAUAUGCUUGUCUCAAAGAUUAAGCCAUGCAUGUGUAAGUAUAAGUAUUAAAAACGAAACUUGCGAAAUGGCUCAUUAAAAACAUGUUAUAGUUAUAUUUGAUAAUCUAAGUCAUGAAACCGUUGACAAUUAAUAAUACAUAGCAUCAAGACUCUAUUGAGUUGUAAUUUAUAUUAAAACCCAUAUUGCUUCGCAAGUGUAUAGUAAUCAUAUUAAUCGAUCCGAAUCGCAGAAUUUGCCCGAUAAGAUCAUUCAGUUUCUGCCUUAUUGUCUUUUUGGAUGUCAAGUGCCUAUACAAUUUUUAUAUCUUUUCAUUCAUUUCCAUCACUACAUCAACUUAUAGUAACGGGUAGGGUCUGAUUCCGGAGAGGAGCCUAGAAAACGGCUACCACAUCUACGGAGGGGCAGGCUCAAAUUUGCCCAAUCCUUGACUUUCAAUCCGACAACUAACAAUCCUCAACUUUGUUGAGAAUAUGAGAAUAAUUUAACCCUUACCGAAAGCAAUUUGGAGGGAAGUUUUCUGUUGCCAGCAACCGCCCUAUUUACUUUCCAAAAAGCGUAUAUUAAAGUUGUUGCAGUUAAAAGCCGAUAGUUGAAGUUCUGGCUUAUGAUUUGUUCUUUCCAUUGCUUUGCUACGAAGGAACCGAGUCAUUUUGUUUAAACAAUUCAAUUCCUUAACCGGUCACUGCAUAAGUUAAGCAAUUUACUUGAAAAAAACAGAGUGUUCCAGACAGGUCUGUCCGGAAAUGCGUUAGCAUAUAUGAAUCAUAACUGAAGUCGAUUUAUUAAGCCUUAUAUAUACAUAGUACUAUAUAUAAACAAGGAAUACCUAAUUCUCGGAUGGCAUUGUACCUUGUCAGUCCAGAAUGAAAUUCUAGGAUAUUGACAAAGACUAACUGAUGCGAAAGCGUUUGCCAAGAAUGUUUCAUUAAUCAAGAACGAAAGUAUAGGAUCAAACGACGAUCAUAAUACCGUCCUAGUCGUUAACUAUUAAACCGAUAACCGACUCGGAUUCAGAUGAAUAUUAAAGUUCAUAUUCGGGACCGUAGGAGAAAUCAAAGUUUUGGGUUCUGGGGGAGUAUGGUCGCAAGGCUGAAACUUAAAGAUUGACGGUUUUGCACCACCAGGAGUUGGAGCCUGCGGCUUAAUUUGACUCAAAAUGGGAACUCAUCAGGGCAAGAUUUUAGGAUUACAGAUUGAGAGUUCUUUUCUUGAUUGGUCUAGUGGUGGUGCAUGGCCGUUUAGUUGGGAUGAUUUGUCUGGUCUUAAUUCCGUUAACGAACGUAGAUCCUUAACCUGUAACUAGUACUUUUGAUUUUCAAUCGGAUUGUUUCUAGAGGGACUAUGUGAUGUAAUCACAUGGAAGUUUGAGCAAUAACGUCUUGUGCCCAGAUGUCCUGAGCUGCACGCGCGCUACAAUGACACAUUCAACGAGUAUUUCCUGACCCGAAAGGGCUCCGGGUAUAUUUAGUGUGUGUCGUGAUUGGAUAGAUCUUUGUAAUAUGGAUCUUGAACGAGGAAUUCCUAGUAACGCACUCUUCAGCUGCUGAUUACGUUCCCUGGCAAAAAUACACCGCCCGUCGCUAUUUACCGAUUUGGUGUAUAGGUGAACCUUCCUGAUAGACAAGUUAAGUUAAGUAAACCUUUACCUAGAGGGAAAAAAGUGAACAAUUUUCGUCAGGUGAACCUGCGGAAG
rnacentral:rRNA from 1 species